rnacentral:rRNA from 1 species
CAGUCGCCGCGGGAACACGAAGGGGGCUAGCGUUGUUCGGAAUUACUGGGCGUAAAGCGCACGCAGGCGGCUCGAUAAAUUAGAAGUGAAAGCCUUGGGCUUAACCUGAGAAUUGCUUUUAAGACUGUCGAGCUAGAAUCCAGAAGAGGGUAGUGGAAUUCCGAGUGUAGAGGUGAAAUUCGUAGAUAUUCGGAAGAACACCAGUGGCGAAGGCGGCCCACUGGCUCAUACUGGACGCUGAGGUGCGAAAGCGUGGGGAGCAAACAGGAUUAGAUACCCCGGUAGUCCCUGUCUCUUUUAC